GGAGAGUUUGAUCCUGGCUCAGGAUGAACGCUAGCGGCAGGCCUAAUACAUGCAAGUCGUACGGCAGCACAGUUGCGAGCAAUCGCAACCGGUGGCGAGUGGCGCACGGGUGAGUAACGCGUAUGUAACCUACCCUUCUCCAGGACAUAACUCCGCGAAAGCGGUGCUAAUAUCCUAUAUCAACACUUGAAGACAUCUUCUUGUGUUGAAAGUAGCAAUGCGGUGAAGGAUGGGCAUGCGUCCCAUUAGCUGGUUGGUGAGGUAAUGGCCCACCAAGGCUACGAUGGGUAGGGGUUCUGAGAGGAAAGUCCCCCACACUGGUACUGAGACACGGACCAGACUCCUACGGGAGGCAGCAGUAAGGAAUAUUGGGCAAUGGUCGAAAGACUGACCCAGCCAUGCCGCGUGCAGGAUGAAGGCCCUAUGGGUUGUAAACUGCUUUUAGCCGGGAAUAAUUACCCGUUCUCUAACGGGCUUGAAGGUACCGGCUGAAUAAGCAUCGGCUAACUCCGUGCCAGCAGCCGCGGUAAUACGGAGGAUGCAAGCGUUAUCCGGAUUCACUGGGUUUAAAGGGUGCGCAGGCGGACAUUUAAGUCAGGGGUGAAAUCCUACAGCUUAACUGUAGAACUGCCCUUGAUACUGAAUGCCUAGAGUAAAGUUGAAGUGGGCGGAAUGUGUUGUGUAGCGGUGAAAUGCUUAGAUAUAACACAGAACACCAAUCGCGAAGGCAGCUCACUAAACUUUAACUGACGCUCAUGCACGAAAGCGUGGGGAGCAAACAGGAUUAGAUACCCUGGUAGUCCACGCCGUAAACGAUGAUCACUCGCUGUUGGCGAUAUAUUGUCAGUGGCUAAGCAAAAGUGAUAAGUGAUCCACCUGGGGAGUACGACCGCAAGGUUGAAACUCAAAGGAAUUGACGGGGGCCCGCACAAGCGGAGGAGCAUGUGGUUUAAUUCGAUGAUACGCGAGGAACCUUACCAGGGCUCGAACGCAGGAGGAAUACACCCGAAAGGAUGUAGCCAGCAAUGGCCGCCUGCGAGGUGCUGCAUGGUUGUCGUCAGCUCGUGCCGUGAGGUGUCAGGUUAAGUCCUAU
rnacentral:rRNA from 1 species